CCUGCCGUCUCCAAGGAGACAGAAAACAUCAAGAGACGGCGUCAUCUUGGUCGCCGCAGUCACUUCCGGUCCGGGAUUUGAACCGUUUCAAGCGUUGCCAAUUUCCAGGGCAAGGCUACAAACUGAUCCUGGCAUCACCCUGUGCCCCUUGCUGUCAGCAUUCUGCACAGAGUGCUGGCCCUUCAUGGCCUCAAAGAUUCUCUCCCCUCCUCCCCCUAAACAUCUAACCUGAUGAAGAGAACAUGAAAGGCUGCCUUCGGUUAUUUUGGUUGACCGGAAUAAAAGAUAUGAAAUAG